GGGCCUUAUAUGGACGUCCUGCCCCAACAAGGAAAGGCUGUUGUUCGUUAAGCCAGAGCGUACUGGUUUAUUGAGCAGCCUGCACAAAAGGGCAGAGUAGGAGAGAACCAAGAGUGGUAUGAAGUGUGAGAGAAGUGAGCGCAAUAUCUGUGUGAUUACCUGGACUGUUGGAUUACCCCCCUUGUGUAUCGGACCGGAUUAGCUGAGAACCCGAGUGUGAGGAUUACACCUGAAAAAUGGAAUGGACAACAUGAAAGGCUUGUGGACUGUAACACUCCGAAAACCGUGUACGGGCGGGUCAUUGACUCGUAAAUUAAAGACCUGUCCCCUGAAAUUGGGGUUCCAUAACAGGCCGGUAAAUAUCUAAGGUUGACAGAGAUGGUGACGGAAUCCAACCUACAUUGCUUUUCCCAGCCUACAAGACGAAGUCUUCCCGGUUUUGACCCUUGCCUGUUCUGGACUCUGUACCUGCCUGCCUGGCCAUUCUGUCUGCCUUGACCACAAGCCUGUCUGCCACCUGGACUCUGAUCUGGUUUUGACCUUUUGCCUGUCCACGACUAUUCUCUUGCCUAAACCCGUUGGAUUAAUAAACAUUGUAAGACGCCAACAAUCUGCCUCCUGUGUCUGCAUCUGGGUCUUGCCUUGUGCCUUGAUACAAUACUCCAGUUUUAAGGGAAAUAUUCCACCAACAAAAAAAAAUAUUUAUUCCAUUGUUUGGAUUGAGUUAGUGGAGGGUACAUUUAAAGGAGUAAGUUACAGUCAGUCUUCCCCCCUCUGUGUGAAUAAAACGUGCCAAGUCACUGCAUAAGUUUCCUGCAGUAAAAAGGGGAAGUGACAAGUGAGGGCAGUUAGUGAAAUGGUAAAGAUGGGAAAUAAUUAAGAUAAAGAUAAUUAUCCGUCAACAACUUGUCAAGUCAUCAUGGUACACCGACAGCAACAUCUCACCAGUCAAAUCAGUCAUACAGGUGCUAUAUCUUUGCAACAUGCAAUCAUUCUCAAAGAGUCUUUGCAACCGAGCUGUAUGUCUGUCUAAGAUGUGCAUCUCAGGUGACUAAAUAACAGUUACUGUCUUACUGUCUGUCACACCCAUUUAGAAUGCAAGAAUGACAUCUUCAAAUCGGCAAGCAUAUGUUAGAAUUGCUUUGGAAUGUUUCCACCUGAUUUCCAACUUGACUGUAUCCACAACUUAAGCCCAAUGUAUUGGCACCAAUGAAUCACUAAUGAAUCAACACAGACAAAUAGGAGAUAGAAUAAGGCAAUGGUAGACUUGAAAGAUCACAAAAUGCUAAUAACAGUUUGUUACAAAACUGUCUGGCCUUGUGACUCAUCUGAAGCAUCUGCAGCCUGUAUGGUACAGUUAACUUCCUCAAUAAGGAAGUGGCAUUAAUACUGGCAAUUAUCACAGUUAGACAUCAAGAGUCAAAUCUCUUGGUCCUCAUACUGGCAAGUAGGCUAAGCCACAAGUCUUUUGAAUCAUCAGGAAUUCUGAGAAAUGAUGUGACUGUAUUGAAAUACAUAUGAAGACAACUCAUGGGAACAAAUCUCAUCUAGGCUGACUGCAUUGAAAGGUGGUGCCACUUCAGCCAUGUGACCCACUUUAGGUUAACCACAGGUUAUUCAACAAUUACCCCAAUUAUUUUGUUAACGCUUUAUUUGGAUAUUCUCAAGUAGAUGACUUGGAGAUGUUCAGUAACUGUCCACAACAUUUCAACUAAAAAUCCACUAACCCUAGCCUUAACCCUCGUCCUAACCCUAACCUUAAACAAACCCCAGCCAUAACCCUAAUCAUUACCCUAACCCUUUUUCUAAACCUAACCCUAACCAUUACCCCAACCCUUAUUCUAAACUUAAACGCAACCUAAGCAAGCAUUUUCUUAUCAACAGAUAGUAUGAUCAUCUGUAGAUCACCUAUAUGGGACUAUCCAAAUAAAGUGGGACCAUUCUGUUUAUUGCUGUAAUUUUCAGCCAAUGGUAUAUUCAUAAUUUGCUUAUAUGUCUGUUUUGUUUGGAGUAUGUUAUUUUAUGCCCAGGUCAAUUCCAUGAAAAUAAGCCAUGGAUAUUACAUAUGAGAAACUAGAUCAGUAUGUCAUAAAACAACAUUGAUGAACAAUACAAGAGAAGAGAACCACGUGUUUGUUUGUAGAGUGGAGCGGAGUGGCUGGGGCCAGGUGGGAUGAGAAGCAGAUGAUGUAAUGGAAUUAUGACAAAGCAGGUUAUUUUUGGCUACUUCAAGCAAUGCAGUGUGCCUGGUUAAACAUAAAUAUAGUUUUGCCGACAUUACUGGAAAUGAGAGUAAAAUAGCGUAAAUAGGGAAAAGUUUAUAAAAAGAAAAUGAUGUAUGGUCUUCCCUGUGGCUCAGUUGGUAGAGCAUGGUGUUUCCAACACCAGCAUGGUGUGUGCAACGCCAGGGUUGUGGGUUUGAUUCCCACGGGGGGCCAGUACAAAAAAUUCAAAAAUGUUUUAAAAUGCAUGGAAUGUAUGCAUUCACU